GACGAACGCUGGCGGCGUGCUUAACACAUGCAAGUCGAACGGAAAGGCCCUGCUUUUGUGGGGUGCUCGAGUGGCGAACGGGUGAGUAACACGUGAGUAACCUGCCCUUGACUUUGGGAUAACUUCAGGAAACUGGGGCUAAUACCGGAUAGGAGCUCCUGCUGCAUGGUGGGGGUUGGAAAGUUUCGGCGGUUGGGGAUGGACUCGCGGCUUAUCAGCUUGUUUGUGGGGUAGUGGCUUACCAAGGCUUUGACGGGUAGCCGGCCUGAGAGGGUGACCGGGCACAUUGGGACUGAGGUACGGACCAGAAUCCUACGGGAGGCAGCAGUGGGGAAUAUUGCACAAUGGGCGGAAGCCUGAUGCAGCAACGCCGCGUGCGGGAUGACGGCCUUCGGGUUGUAAACAGCUUUCGCAUGUGACGAAGCGUGAGUGACGGUAAUGGGUAAAGAAGCACCGGCUAACUACGUG
rnacentral:rRNA from 1 species